AGAGCUAAACUGAAGUGCACGUUUUAUUAUUUUUAUUGAACUCAUACAAUAAAUUCAUUGGUGAAAACAACAACAUGUUGUCUUCUCAAGAUGAGUAAAACAUGUCCCCCUUUUCCAAAUCCCUUGCGAAAGCAAUCCUGGUCACACGUUGCAACACAAGGCCCUAUACAAACUCCUCGGGAGGGACCAAAAUACUGGUAACCAAUCCUGAAUCAACCAAAAUUUAAAAUUAGUUUGUGUCUGACAUUGCUUCAUAAUUUUUACAUUAUAAUCUCAAUCUAAUGUUUCUUCGAAUUGAGAAUUGAUUAAACCAUAAUUAAUUGUUAUUGAUCUACAUAUCUUGUUAAAAAGAAAUCAACUUCUUAGAAGGGUUAAACAAUCACAUAAUUUUUUAGACGAGUCUUUUUUACUUUCUUUUGAAUAUAAAGAUGCAAUAUAUGUUUCAAUAAAAAACAUUUGGUGUUAGUAAAUUCUACUUUAAAAUUGAAACUCAAAAAUAAAAAUAAAUUUCAUUCUUACCCGAACUAACCAUCAAAACAAGGCAUAAAACACUCAAAAAACAAGAUUGAUUGUUGGUGUGACAUGCCAUUUUGUAAGAUUUCAAUUUAUUAUUUUGUUUCUUCAGUAGUAAAAACCCGAAAAGAUGUGAAGACCCAUAACAAAAUUAACCUAUCUUCAUUAGAAUCGGCACUAUAUAAAAGAGUAAACUGUGUAUUAGGUUUUGUUGUCAAAAUAAAUCAGAUAAUAUGACGGAAUUGAAAAACUUUAAACUAAAAAUUUAAAUAUAAUGAGACAUCUUAAAAAGAGUAAGAAAAGAAUAACCUUUCCAAAAAUACAAUUACCCUACAAGCGGGUCCAGAUAUCCAAAAUAUAAAAAAAUAAAUUUGAAAUAACAUAAUUAGAAAAAAUAAUUUUUCAAAUAUAUAUAUUUAAUUAAAAAUUGAAUUUUGAAGAAAGGAAUCAGAUAACAGUGGAGUUGCCUGAUUCAUCGGAAGUGGCUUGGGGCUUCCCCCACCCACACCUGGAAUAGUGUCAAGUUUCUCUUAAUGAUUAUGAAUCAUAUAAUAAAAUAGAAAAAUAUAUAAUACGAUAAAAUAUUAUAUAUACGUUGCUAAAAAUCGAAAGAACCAGUAAAAGGGUAAGUGGGUGGAUCUACCAAACAUAAACUGUCCUUAAUGGUAGUGUUAUGGGCGCGUAUGAUAGGAGAUCGCUAGUAUUAGUUCUUUUAAUAAAAAUAUAUAAUUCAAAUAUGAAACUCAAUCUAAAAAUACUUUUACAUAAAUUUAUCCAAAAUGUUGAAUGCUCCGCUAAAUUGCAGAAAGUAAAAAAAGAAUAAGGUUAGAUGUUAAAUAAAAACCUGGUAUGAGUAGGCUGUAUCAAUAUGAAUAGUAGGGAAUUGUUGAUAGGUAAAAAUUUGAGAGUCAAAAAAAAUAAAAUCGGGUUACAAAUUCUUAUUGGAAUUAUUGAAAAGAGAAGAAUAUGAAGGAAUGAGUAUUAGAAUUCAAUAACCACAAUAGAACUUAAAUAAACAACAAUAAUACCGGGUGUCAAUAAAUCGUUAGCAUAGUAUGUCAGAAUUAUGGAUAUAGAAGUAGAAUUAUAAUAUAUAUAUAUAAGAUUUUUUUUAAAAUUAUUUGAAACAAUUUUCCAACACUGGAAUUAUAUUUAUUAGAAAUUGCAGUUAGUGUUUUAUCCAGAUUAUGUUCCGACUAGACUUUGUUCAAAAUUUAUUUGGAUUUCUAUUUUGUACUAUUUUGUUGUGUGUGAUGAUUAUAUUUAGCAUUUGAAUUUAAAUAAUGAACUUGUGAAAUUAUUUAAAUUUGAAGUUUUGUAGGUGUCAUGAUUUUUUUAGAGACCGAGUCACCUGUUCGACCAGUUUAAUAACUUUAUCUUUUUUGAUAAAGGCAGAUCUAUUAAAAUGACUUUUCCAAUUUUAUUCGGUUUAGUCAAGCGGUUCGACUUGUGACCCAGUGGUUUGACUAACGAACGAGUGACUCAAUACCCUCACGGUUUGAUGACCCUUUCGAUUGUUAAAACUUUGAUUUUAAGAUCUACCUAAUCAUCAAACUAAUAUUUUUUUAAAAUAAACACCGGUAGUAGGAUAUAAAUAAGGAUUUUCUUCAAAACACAAUUUAACAUAUACCUCAUCAAUCAUAAUUUUGACCAAACACUUGAUUACCUCUUAUAAAGAAUUUAAAAUUAGAAUAUUUGCAUAACUCAAAUAAAUUCUUUAUCUGGUGUCUUUAAAUCCACCCUCACUAACUAUCCAUGUAUAAUAUAUUUUUUGUGAUUUCAAGGGAACCAUAUUUUUGAUAACUUUUAAACAUCCAUUUUAUUCAACAUGAAAACAUAAAUAAUUAAAAUAUUUAAGUAACAUUCUAUAAAAAAAGACAAUUCAAAUAAUAUAUAUUCCAUUUUAAAAUUCAUUUAUUCGUAAGAGUGUUUAUAGAAUUUUAACGAUUUACACAAAUUUCUUACAAACAGUAAGUUCUAGAUCUAAACUCAAGUGCACGUUUUAUUAUUUUUAUUGAAUUCAUAGAAUAAAAUACAUUAGUGAAAACAAUAACAUGUUGUCUUCUCAAGAGUAAUAUAACAUUGUCCCCUUUUCAAAAUCCCUUGCCACGGCAAUCCUGGUCGCAUGUUGCAACACAAGGCCCUAUACAAACUCCUCCGGGAGGGACCAAAAUACUCGUAACCAAUCCUGAAUCAACCAAAGUUUAAAAUUAGUUUGUGUGUGACAUUGCUUCAUUAUUUUUACAUUAAAAAUCUCAAUCUAAUGUUCUUUCGAAUUGAGAAUUGAUUAAACCAUAGUUGAAUUAUUAUUGAUCUACAUAUCUUGUUUAAACAAAAAAUUAAAAAAUUCAACUUCUUAGAAGGGUUAAACAAUCACAUAAUUUUUUAAACGAGUCUUUUUUACUUUCUUUUGAAUAUAAAGAUGCAAUAUAUGUUUCAGUAAAAAACAUUUGGUGUUAGUAAAUUCUACUUUAAAAUUGAAACUCAAAAAUAAAAAUAAAAUUUCAUUCUUACCCGAACUAACCAUCAAAACAAGGCAUAAAACACUCAAAAAACAGUGUGACAUGCCAUUUUGUAAGAUUUCAAUUUAUAUUUUA
rnacentral:lncRNA from 1 species